rnacentral:ribozyme from 1 species
GGAGGCUUUGCCUCCUGCCUUAAUGCAGCCACUCAUAGAGUGAUGGUCACAAGCCCAUAUAAAUGCAGAGUGAGGC